AGAUUGAACGCUGGCGGAAUGCUUUACACAUGCAAGUCGAACGGCAGCACGGGGGCAACCCUGGUGGCGAGUGGCGAACGGGUGAGUAAUGUAUCGGAACGUGCCCAGUCGUGGGGGAUAACUAUCCGAAAGGAUAGCUAAUACCGCAUACGACCUGAGGGUGAAAGCGGGGGACCCCAAGGGUAACCGAGGGCCUCGCGCGAUUGGAGCGGCCGAUAUCGGAUUAGCUAGUUGGUGGGGUAAAGCUCACCAAGGCGACGAUCCGUAGCGGGUCUGAGAGGACGACCCGCCACACUGGAACUGAGACACGGUCCAGACUCCUACGGGAGGCAGCAGUGGGAAUUUGGACAAGUGGGGGCAACCCUGAUCCAGCCAUUCCGCGUGAGUGAGGAAGGCCUUCGGGUGUAAGUCUCUUUCAGCGGAACGAAGGUCGAGUACUUAAUACGGUCGCGUAAGUGUACGGUACCGU
rnacentral:rRNA from 1 species